rnacentral:rRNA from 1 species
CCCUUCGGGGUACUCGAGCGGCGAACGGGUGAGUAACACGUGAGCAACCUGCCCUAGGCUUUGGGAUAACCCCGGGAAACCGGGGCUAAUACCGAAUAGGACCUGACUCCGCAUGGGGUUGGGUGGAAAGUUUUUCGGCCUGGGAUGGGCUCGCGGCCUAUCAGCUUGUUGGUGGGGUGAUGGCCUACCAAGGCGACGACGGGUAGCCGGCCUGAGAGGGCGACCGGCCACACUGGGACUGAGACACGGCCCAGACUCCUACGGGAGGCAGCAGUGGGGAAUAUUGCACAAUGGGCGGAAGCCUGAUGCAGCGACGCCGCGUGAGGGAUGACGGCCUUCGGGUUGUAAACCUCUUUCAGCAGGGACGAAGCGCAAGUGACGGUACCUGCAGAAGAAGCGCCGGCCAACUACGUGCCAGCAGCCGCGGUAAGACGUAGGGCGCGAGCGUUGUCCGGAUUUAUUGGGCGUAAAGAGCUCGUAGGCGGCUUGUCGCGUCGACUGUGAAAACCCGCGGCUCAACUGCGGGCCUGCAGUCGAUACGGGCAGGCUAGAGUUCGGUAGGGGAGACUGGAAUUCCUGGUGUAGCGGUGAAAUGCGCAGA